CACAAUGGUUUUAACAGGGGAACAUCCAACAAGGAACUUUAACAGAAGAUUAUCUUUACUACUUUCCAGAUAUAUUUCCUGGAAUUAUUAACCUUGAUGUCUACUUACAAGGAUGGAGAUAAUCCUGACCAUUUUUGGAUCCUCUCUUCCCCAGUCUGGUGGAUAUCUACGGAUAUUACUUUGAAUUCAUAUAGAUUUUAUUUGUGACAAAGGUAUUUAUUUGAGAUGACCGAAAUAGGCAAGUGUCUGAACAAACAGCUUCAAUGAUAGGGAGUUGAUUAGAUAUUUACCAUUAAUGAGAUAUUUUAAAUGAUUUAACGUCCUCUAAUAAUAGUAGUAGUCAAGAUUUCUAUCUGUGUUAUUAUUGAUUUAAAGAUAAAUAUACUCUCACCUUGGUGCCUGAAACAUCUCUGUAGUUUUGGAGGGGUCAUUUGGUUUUAGAAAACACUUUUUUAUUUUUUUAUUUUUUUUUAAAUAUAAACUUUUUGACAGUAUUCUUUAAAAGAGACAAUCUGCAGAUUGUUUAAUUUUCUAUUGGAUAGAGAGUAGUUAGAGAACAGAACAAUGUUGUGCAGUUGGAGCGAUGGAGUUAACAACAAACCAAGGACGUGUGGAUGUCCUUCCCUGUGUGACACGUGGCUGGCUGCUGGGGGCCCUGUUUCCACAACAGCACGCCUCGGGGCAGAGAAGGAGGAGAAGGAUGGUGGCACGGGUGGCCUGUGUUCCGGAGCAGGGUGACAGGAACAGAACUGUGUGCUGCUCUCUCUGUUUACCAAACAAGCCUCAUAGUGCUUUAUUGACAUGUUUAACGUCUAAGCGGGCUGUCAGAGGGAUGAACAGCUGAGAUGGCAAGACAAAGAGAGGGAAGGCAGGCAGGCAGGCAGCGGCACCAAAGGCCACCUCCUCCUGUGGCAUGCCUUAUGAAACAAAUGCAACUGUGUCAUUCCCCUGGCCCUCUCCCUCUCCUCCCUGUGCUGCGAGCUGGAUGACUAAUUUAGAGUUUGGCUUUGUCCGUGUGUAUGUUUAUUGUGUCAACAGUGCACCUGCUGCCUGCCGCCUCCUCCCUAAUUCACCGUAGCACGCGCCAUAACCUAUAACACGCGCCGGUUCCCCUAAUCUCCUCACUUACUGAGAGUACAACUUUGCCCCAGGUCACACUGCUGGGCACCCCGACAUCAACCAACAUGUUCACUCUCUGUUUGCCACCCGACUCCACACGCCCCCAUCUAGCUGACAACCGUUUUUUUACUGAUUGAUAUGACUUUGUUCUUGUGUAUUUUAAACCUUUUGCUCAAGAUGGGGGAUCAAGUUUUAUAUCAUUGAUCUAGUCUCUUUUCCCCUUUCUAAACCCCUAUCUGUUUCUCUUUGUUUCUCUCUCUUUGUUUCUCUCCGUCUCUCUCUUUACAACUCUCUCUCUCUAUUUCUCUCACUCUCUCUCUACAUAUUUAUCUCCAUCUCUCCCUCUCUCCCUGCAGUACAGUCAUUUUAUCAGGCAGGUGUGUGGAUGUCUGCAGUGAGCAAUGGAGCAGGUGUAGUGGGAGAUUUAUUGAUUUUAAUCACAUUCUGUUGAGCAAUAGUUCCCAGCCCCAGGCGUAAGGCAGGCAUGUCCUCAGACCGCCGGUACCGAUAUGAAUAAAUGGGCAGGCAGGCAGGCAUAGCACCUAUCUCACUGUCCACAAAGACACAGGAUCAGGGGGAGUGUGUAGUUUAAUGGAAGGGAUCCUGUAAACGACUUAGGUCUUGAUUCAAUCCGUAUCGCGGGAGAUCUGUGUCAAAAUGUAAAGGUCAUUUUCGAUUGAGCCGGCAACAUUUACAGUGAAUUCAGUCUCCACGAAUGCAAUCGAGCUACAACGGAAAUGUUGUGCGAUACAUCUGCGAUAUGGAUUGAAUUCAGUCCAUAGCCCUUUCCUGCAGUCAAUUGACUUAGUGUCGGUUUCAUGGGUGGAAUGUUAAUAUCUUUCAUAAUUAAUACACUUUUUUAUUUUGCAGAAAAUCUGUUGUUUUUGUUAGAUUUCCGUCUUCUGUGACGUAUAUAAAGUGUAAUAUUGGGAUGCAAACUCAAAAUGUAAUGUAUUUCAACUCUGUAUCAAACAUGGUACAGGUGUCUUAUUUUUAAAGCCCUUGAGCAUGUGUGUGAAGUCUAUACUUUUGUUUUUAUGUCAGUCUAAACUGGUUAAACUGUUUUCUUAAACUGCCUCCUGUGCUGUCAAUCAUAUAUUUCAGUCAAAUACUAAAUCAAUUGCAUUAGAAUUAGCCAUUUUUUUCUGUACUUGUGUGCACUUGUGUUCUUGUGCACCUGUGUAGGUGUGUGUACAAGCAGGUUAUAGGGGUGUCGGUGUGCCAACAGAACAGCCUUGAGGCGACCUGUUCUUACUAUCUCUGGGGGCUUGUGGGGGCUUGUUCUCAGAUCCCUCACCGUUCAUAAACUCCUGUCAGCUCCAACAGUUGACACCUGAGUGCACCGAAAAUGUCCAAUCUUGACUUGCGAUCUGAUAAAAUCUUCUGUUUCAGCAACGGACAUGACCACAGAAAGCUGGCUACCAAUAAAAUGCCAGCCACUGAUUGUCUCUGUUUCCUUUACCCCAAAUAUCCAUCACUGUCUCAGAGAGAGAAAGAGACAAAAGCUUACAGUUUGACAGUUUGUCUGAGAAAUGUAAAAGGUGAAAGGUCAAUGGAAUCUACAGGUCUUAUGUACACCGACCCCCGUCUCUAUCUACUGGACCUAAGAGCCCAGUAGUGGUUGAGAGGGGUUGCGUGUGUGUGUGUGUGUGUGUGUGUGUGUGUGUGUGUGUGUGUGUGUGUGUGUGUGUGUGUGUGUGUGUGUGUGUGUGUGUGUGUGUGUGUGUGUGUAAAAAGAAAUAUAUAUAUAUAUAUAUACCUGGCAGUGUGGCCUACAGUGGGUAUGGGUUUUACUCCUACACUUUGUUUGGUUUAACCCACACAGGGCCUGCGUGUUCCCCCUUCCUGACUCUGAGGCUUGAUCGGCGGGUUUGAGAUGUGAUGUAAUGUAUCAUCAACCUUAAGCUCAUCUCGUUGUGUGUCACUUCAAGACUGUUUCACAAAGCAGAGCCCCCACUGCACUCAGCAUCUGUAUAAACCAUGGCAGGUGUAAUGGAGGGAGGCUAGCUUUCCUUCAUAUAAGAGAUGAUGCCAAUGUAUUCCCCACACGUCUGGAAACCAUAAUAUUUCCUUCAUCAGUGCUGCAUGCCACUGACUUAGAGAUACACAUACAGUCUCAGUGGAAUGGAAUACCUGUCCUGUUCAUCCAGGCUUCACUGGCUGUUAAGCACCUGCAUCUACACCUGUCUGCACCUGCAGAACUGUCGUACACCUGCUCUCUCCGUGCUCCUAAAUGAUAGCACAUAUUCUCAUUUAACAUUAUGCCUCUCUUAUUCAUUCCACCACAGUAAGUUCUGUGGCCAUCAGAUCAUAAUUCAAAAGGCCCCUUUUCGGUAAAAUAAUUUGUACCAUCAUUUGUACAAUAAUUUGUAUAGCUGACAAUGGUGAGAUGCUGAGAUAUGUCUGAGCGUUGGAAGACCCAGACUCACUGGAUUAUUUAACGAUUUUAGGCACUGGGCAGCAGGGCUAGUAGACUGCAAUUUUUACUAGCCCUGGUCCAAAACGGCACUAACCGGCCAGGCUAGUUGGACACAUUUUCUACGAGCGCGGUCUGAAAAGUACUAGCCACGGGUUUUCCGAACUUGGUCCUCUGUACCCGAAGGAGUGCACGUUUUGGUUGAUGAACUAGCACUACACAGCUGAUUCAAAUAAUGAACUAAUCAUCAAGCUUUGAAUCAGCUGUGGAGUGCUAGGGGGAAACUACCAAAACGUGGACCCUUUGGGUUCCCCAGGACAGCGUUUGGGAAAUGCUGUCUUAUAUUAUGUUGAGGUGUAUCUGUCAGGAGAAACUCUCAUCAGACACCUAAUCCUCUCCUCAGACGGCUGGCGAAAGUCGCCGACCUCUCUGUUUCUCUGUGUGCUAAUGUCUGUGUUUGUUUACUCCUGUGUGCGCCCAUCCCAUUGAAUGAAACCCGUGGGACGGGUGGAGGGGUAUAGGGGCGAGGAAGUUCAUAUAGGGGCUCACAGAGCGGCCCGCCAGGGUGACAAAUGAUGCAGGCUGGAACAGGACCACAGGCAGACAUACCAUAUUUUGAAGAAAAAACCCCCACCAGGGUAUAUCUUAGAUGGAAACUCGACAGAAGUGUCUCUAAUGCUAAUGAAAGCGUUCCUAUCAUCAUGUUAUCUGUUCUUUCAAGUUCUACAUCAAUGCCUUGCAAUAUCUUCAGGUGAUCUGCCAAAUAGAAAUUGGAUGGUAUGCAUAAGCUGACAAGCAUGGUUGCUCAGGGAUGUCCUCAGGUUUGCACCAUUCAAAUGCCAUCCAUCUAUGUUUUGUGAUCCAUUAUCUUCCUCUAAGUCAUGUUAUCAGACACUAUUUGACCUAAUGCCAAUUUACAGUUUAUAACUUGACCCCAAAAACGUCACUAUGAGUGGGGAUAUACGAUACGUGACAGAAUAUUGGAAAUAAAAUCGUAAACAAUUCCAAAGUAUUGUCUUUGCAUGAGUUGUGUUUGAAAUGGUUCAGCAUGGACAGAGUUCAGGAGCCUUGAGUGACAAGAGGUGCUACAUGGACAGAGUUCAGGAGCCUUGAGUGACAAGAGGUGCUACAUGGACAGAGUUCAGGAGCCUUGAGUGACAAGAGG
ensembl:lncRNA